GCAUGUUGAUUUUGUGGAGGAUGUUCACUUUUUCCUGACUUUGAUCAUCCGUUUCUACCAUCAUGGUAACCAUGUUAAGGCAGAUGAGAAUCAUGAUGGAGACAUCAAAGGCUUGUUUUGAGACAACAUCAAAAAUAAAACCUUGGUAUUUGUUCAGUGGUCUUGGGAUUGGCUUUUGAGGUUUCUUAGAACCCAACUUUUUCAUUGCAUUAUAAUACUUUUUCUGUUCUUCUGUCAUAAAGAUGUCCUGGCCACUUAUCUUUUUCUUCUGUUGGUUGAAAUUGUCAAUGAUGACACCAAUGAAGAGGUUCAGUGUGAAGAAAGACCCGAAGAUGAUGAAAAUCACAAAGUACAGGUACAUGUAUAAAUUACAUUCCCAUUCAGGCUGCUCCUCACACUGCACAGGGAAAAGGGAAGACAUGAAAAUGAC
rnacentral:lncRNA from 1 species